rfam:Arthrobotrys oligospora ATCC 24927 unplaced genomic scaffold scaffold00080, whole genome shotgun sequence.
GCUGCUAUGACCGAGUGGUUAAGGUGUGAGACUUGAAUUGACUGGUCUUCCAGUUGUAGAUAUCUCAUGGGUUCGCCCGCAGAGGUUCGAUCCCUCUUGGCAGCG